UUCCAGUCCCACGUGUUCUUUUAGAACCUCACCAUUACCCUAGCAAGAGAUUGAAUCUAUGGUCCGUCCCCUUACCACGGGAUGGAGGCUACAGUGGAAGUGAUACUAUGUAGCUUUAGAGACUUGGUCUCAGAAGGUAAUAUAGCUUCUUUUUUUGAUUUUGCUUUAGGAUGUGGAAUCAGGGAGUAUAGCUUCCAUCAGCUUUCUCGUUUUCUUGGGACACUUGCUCCUGGAAUCCUGCUGCUGUGCUGGGAGGAGACCAAGGUCACAUGAAUAGCGUCUGCGUAGGUGUCUGGCCACAGCCCCAGGUUUUUCUCUGGUUGUCAACAUGCCUCAGGCUGAAAACACACAUCCCUUCCCCGAUUCCACCGCUGUUUGGCCAGCUACUGCCUCUGUCUCUCAAGUGUACAUCCUGGAAGCAGCAAUUUUCAACUUGUGUGCCAAGGCACGCCGGGGUUCCCCGCAAACUUACCGGGACAGAAGGGGAUAUUUACAUUUUCAAAGCAAAGACAGUGGACUUUCACAUCUCUCAGAUACUUCCCAAACUACUGGCUCAAAGUAGCUCACAGUUUCAGCGUCAGAUCGAACUACAUCCCUUUCCAUGAUGUCCUCAUUUUGCACACUGGGUUUUCCAUGAUUGCUGUAACAAAAAGCAAUUAGUAGCCAAAAAUCAGCACGGAACAGGAAAUGAGGCAGUGCCCGAUCUGAUUCCGAGGUUUGAGAAUUCGGAGUGCCCAGCAGACACACACUUUCCAUUCGACAGCAUGUGGUUAUUUAAGAAUGAAAGGAAAAUAUUUUUUCUCCCAAUUUGUCUUUUCAAAUGGCUGCUAAGUUGUGAGGCCAUGAAUAGUGAUUACGUUGUUUGAUCUAACUACUUAACAAAUGAAACUGUUAGGUAUUGCUUUCAGCCUAAGGCCACCCUGAAAAAAAAAAAAAGAAAACCCUGAGACCCUGAGACUCCUUUUUUUAAAAGACAGAAUCUCACUCUGUUACCUGGGCUGGAUGCAAUGGCACAAUCUCAGCUCACUGCAGCCUCCAUCUCCAGCCUCUGCCUCUGCCUCCUGGGUUCAAGUGAUUCUCCUGCCUCAGUUUCCCAAGUAGCUGGGAUCACAGACAUGCACUAUCACACUCAGCUAAUUUUUGUAUUUUUAGUAGAGAUGGGUCACCAUGUUAGCCAGGCUGAUCUCAAACUCCUGACCUCAAGUAAUCCACUGCCUCACUCUCCCAAAGUGCUAGGAUGACAGGCGUGAGCCACUGCACCUGGCUGAAAACCUGACAUUCUUUUUUUUUUUCGAGACAGAGUCUCACUCUGUAACCCAGGCUGGAGUGCUGGAGUGCAAUGGCAUGAUCUUGGCUCACUGCAACCUCUGCCUGCCGGGUCCAAGCAAUUCUCCCACCUCAGUCUCUCUAGUAGCUGGGAUUACAGGUGUGUGUCACCAUGCCCAGCUAAUUUUUUUAUACUUUUAGUAGAAAAAGGUUUUCACCAUGUUGACCAGGCUGGUCUUGAACUCCUGGGCUCAAGCAAUGCUUCUCCUGCCUUGGCAUCCCCAAAUGCUAGGAUUACAGGCAUGAGCCACUGGGCCUGGCCCAUCCACAGAGGAUUUGGACCCUGGAGUGGGCAGAGAAGCAGAGACAAGGAGAAAUUUGGGUGAGGGAUGGAAAGUGGGGUGGAAGUGGCAGGACGUCCAUGUUCCAGGGUCAGCAGUAGCAGUCAGCGGGCUGGCAGGGUUCAGAGACAGAAGCUGGGGGAGCCUUAGCAGCCUGGUCCUGGGAGGUUUCUGGAUGCAGUUCCCACUGUGUGCCUGUCCUCUGUGUGUGCCUUCCAGGCAAUUGUGGGAGCUCAUGCUGAAUUUAGCCAGUCUCAUCUGUGUCUGGAGUUUGCUACCAAAAACCAUGAAGAGGCUCACACCUGCAAUCUCAGCACUUUGGGAAGUCAAGGUGGUUAGAUCACUUGAGGUCAGGAGUUUGAGAUCAGUCUGGCCAACAUGGUGAAACCCUGUCUCUACUAAAAAUACAAAAAUUAGGUGGAUGUGAUGGCGGGCACCAGCUCUUUGGGAGACUGAGGCAGAAGAAUCUCUUGAACCUGGGAAGCAGAGGUUGCAGUGAGCUGAAGUCACACCACUGCACUCCAGCCUGGGUGACAGAGCGAGACUCCAUCUCAAAACAAAACAAAACAAACAACAACAAAAACCCUGAACUGAUAGUGGAACCCACCUCUUGAGGGUGAGGAAAAAAUUGAAAAUAUAUUUCCUCUGCUCUCACUCCCGAACUGCAAUCACAGGUGACUUCUGUGACCAUAUGCAUAGGGGUUUCUCUCCACCACUAAGGAAGCAAUCAAGUCCGCAGUGGACACCAACUGAGCAUCCUCCAAUUCCAUUCUGACACUAUGUCCUUGCAGAUGGUGUCAGAGUGUGGGCUCAGUCCCCAGUACUGCCCCCCACCUUCAAACACCAAUCACAAGCUCCAGCCUCCAGAACUUCUACUGACCUACUUCAGGAUGAGGUUCCUAUGACCCCCUUUUUGGGUUUGAUUAAUUGGCUAGAGUGGCUCACAGAACUCAGGGAAAUACAUUUACUAGCUUAUUACAAAGGAUUUUACAAAGGAUACAGAUGAAGAGAUGCAUACAUUAAGGUAAGGUGGAAAGUGCGCGGAGCUUCCCUGCCCUCCAGCAGCUGUGCCAUCCCCUAGGAACCCCCACAUGCUCAGCUAUCCAGAAGCUCUACAACCCUAUCUUCUUGGGCCUUUUUUUUUUUUUUUUUUUUUUGAGACAGUCUUGCUCUGUCACUCAGGCUGGAGUCCAGAGGUGUGAUCUCAGCUCACUGCAGCCUCUGCCUCCCAGGUUCAAGUGAUAUUCCUCCCAAGUAGCUGGGAUUACAGACAUGUGCCACUAAUGCCUGGCUAAUUUUUGUAUUUUAGCAGAGGCAGGGUUUUGCCAUGUUGGUCAGGCUGGCCUUUAACUCCUGACCUCAUAUAAUCUGCCCUCCUCGGCCUCCCAAAGUGAUGGGAUUACAGACCAGCACACCCAACUGGGCCUUUAAUAAAGAUUUUAUGGGAUAGGCAUGACAGACAACUGUGUAGAAAUGUGAUUGGACAAAAAGGGUAUCUGACCUAAUGCUAAUAGGCUGAGGGGGGACCCAGCAGGCCUGUCUGUUCAGAUGCUUCUUGGCCUCUCCGUGCAGCCUUCUUUCCUCUGUGUUAUGGGGCAGGAUCCCUUCUGAAAUGAGGGUCUUAAUGAUUUUACAAUCAGACAAGGUAGGUCAGAGAAUUUCCUUGUGGUCAGCUCCAAGAUAGAAAAGUUGGGGAGGAUUUCUGCUUUGGGGAGAGAACUGAGCAAGUGAAAGGAGGGGAGGAGAAAGUCAGAUAGAGAUUCUGUUUCUGAGGCCUAAAGCACUCCAACAUUACAAAAAAGGCUCUGGGAGUUCUGAGUCAGGAACCAGGGACAAAAUCCAACACCUAGGUCAUAACGUCACACCACCUUAUUCAUUUACUGGUUGGGAAAAAGUCUAUGAAGUAAAUCAGACAGAGAAAAUGUAUAUAUUCACUUGAUUGAUUGAUUGAUUAAUUGAGAUAGGGUCUGGCUCUUGUUGCCAGGGCUGGAGUGCAGUGGUGUGAUCUGGGCUCACUGCAACCUCUGCCUCCCCAGUUCAAGCGAUUUUCCUGCCUCAGCCUCCCGAGUAGCUGGGAUUACAGGCAUGCACAACCAUGCCUGGUUAAUUUUUGUAUUUUUAGUAGAGAUGGGGUUUCACCAUGUUGGCCAGGCUGGUUUCAAACUUCUGACCUCAAGUGACCUGCCCACCUCGGCCUCCCAAAGUGUUGGGAUUAUAGGCGUGAGCCACUGCACUUGGUCCUAUAUGUCCACUUUAAAAAGUGCUAAUAAAACAAAUACCCAUGCCCACACCAACCAGGCCAUGAAAUAGAGGCUUAUUAAUAUCAACCAAGUGGGAAAAUCCAAUGUUCUGGGUUUGCCUGCUGCAAUUUUGAUUUGCACCGGGUUUCCGCCAUAAUCAUUACUAACAACCCUCCUUUUUGUCUGCGAAGGUGUGCCAGUGAGGUAACAAAAUAUAUGGUCCCUUUACCCAGAAGUCCUUUGAUAUGGUUUGGAUCCAUGUCUCCACCCAAAUUUCAUGUUCAAUUGUAAUCCCCAAUGCUGGAGGGCCUGGCAGGAGGUGAGGGGGGUCAUGGGGACUGAUUUGGUGUUAUUCUCAUGAUAGUGAGUGAGUUCUUGUGAGACCUGGCUGUUUAAAGGUGUGUAGCACCUCCCCCUUCACCUUCUGCCAUAACUGUAAGUUUCCUGAGGCCUCCCCAGAGGCCAAGCAUGCCAACCUCAUGCUUCCUGUACAGCCUGCAGAACCGUGAGCCAAUUAAAUCUCUCUCUCUCUCUCUCUCUUUUUUUUUUUGAGAGGGAUUCUCACCCUCACCCAGGCUGGAGUGCAAUGGAAUGAUCUCGGUGGCCCAAAGCAACCUCUGCCUCCCAGGUUCAAGCAAUUCUCUUGUCUCAGCCUCCCAAGUAGCUGGGAUUACAGACAUGUGCCAUCAUGCCUGGCUAAUGUUUGUAUUUUUAAUAGAGAGGGGAUUUCACCAUGUUGGCUAGGCUGGUCUCGAACUCCUGACCUCAGGUGAUCCACCUGCCUCAGCCUCCCAAAGUGCUGAGAGUACAGGAGUGAGCCACCGCUUCUGGCCUUAAACCUCUUUUCUUUAUAAAUUACCCAGUUUCAGGCAUUUCUUUUUAGCAAUGCAAGAAUGGAUUAAUACCAUCAGGUGCAGUGGUUCACGCCUGUAAUCCCAGCACUUUGAGAGGCCGAGGCAGGCAGAUCAGUGGAGGACAGAAGUUUGACACCAGCCUGGCCAACUUGAAAAAACCUCAUCUCUACUAAAAAUACAAAAAAUUAACUGAGCGUGGUGAUGUGUGCCUGUAGUCCCAGCUGCCUGGGAGGCUGAGACACGAGAAUUGCUUGAACCCAGGAGGCAGAGGUUGCAGUGAGCUGAGAUGAUGCCACUGCACUCCAGCCUGGGAGACAGAGCAAGACUCUGUCUCAAAAAAAAAAAAAAAAGAAUGAACUAAUAGACCACCUAUGUUCUCCACUCCCCUUCCUCCAUUGCAGCCCCUUCCUUUUAUCAACUAACUACUAUCUGAAAAUUUAAUUAUUUCCCCCUUUUCUUUAAAGUUUAAAUAUCCAAACAGUGUAUUGUUUAGCUGCAUGUGUUUCAAAUGGGAUCAUCCUGUGCAUACUUUUUUUGUGACUUGCUUCUUUCUCCCGCUUAAUGUCAAGUAUGUGAGAUUUAUGCUUGUUGUUGCAAAUAGCUAUGGUGUAUUCCUUUCUCCCACCAUGUAACAUUCCAUUAUGUGCAGAGACCACAGUUUAUUUAUCCCUUCUCCUUUGGGUGAGAUGUGACUUGUUUCCAGGUUUUGUCAUUAUAAACCAUGCUGCGAGGAACGUUCCUGGAUGUGUC
ensembl:lncRNA